CCUACGGGAUGCAGCAGUGGGGAAUUUUUCGCAAUGGGGGCAACCCUGACGAAGCAAUGCCGCGUGGAUGAAGAAGGCCUUCGGGUUGUAAAGUCCUUUCGUGGGGGACGAAAAGGCGGAUCCGAAUACGGUCUGCUAUUGACGUGAACCCAAGAAGAAGCACCGGCUAACUCCGUGCCAGCAGCCGCGGUAAUACGGAGGGUGCGAGCGUUAAUCGGAAUUACUGGGCGUAAAGGGCGCGUAGGCGGUGGGUUACGUCUGCCGUGAAAUCCCCGGGCUCAACCUGGGAAUGGCGGUGGAAACGGGCUGACUGGAGUAUGGGAGAGGGUGAUGGAAUUCCAGGUGUAGCGGUGAAAUGCGUAGAGAUCUGGAGGAACACCAGUGGCGAAGGCGGUCACCUGGCCCAAUACUGACGCUGAGGCGCGAAAGCGUGGGGAGCAAACAGGAUUAGAUACCCGUGUAGUC
rnacentral:rRNA from 1 species